rnacentral:rRNA from 1 species
GACGAACGCUGGCGGCGUGCUUAACACAUGCAAGUCGAACGAUGAAGCAGAGAUACGCGGACUUCGGUUCAAAUUUCACUUCGGAUUAGUGGCAGACGGGUGAGUAACGCGUUAGCAACCUACCUCUUACAAAGGGAUAGCCUCGGGAAACCGUGAUUAAUCCCAUAUGACACAUUCAUAAGGCAUCUUCAGAAUGUUAAAGGUGCGGCGGUAAGCGAUGGGCUCGCGUCACAUUAGCUAGGUGGUGCGGUGACGGCCCACCAAGGCGACGAUGGGUGACCGGGCGGAGAGGGUGAACGGUCACAUUGGAACUGAGACACGGUCCAAUCUCCUACGGGAGGCAGCAGAGGGGAAUAUUGCACAAUGAAGCGAGCUCUGAUGCAGCGACGCGGCGGAAGCGAUCAAGGGAUUCGUAUCGUAAAUCUCUGUUCUAUGAGGAGAAAAUGACUGUACCAGAGGAGAAAGCCCCGGCUAAAUACGUG